rnacentral:rRNA from 1 species
AUGAAACACUCCUACGGGAGGCAGCAGUAGGGAAUCUUCGGCAAUGGGGGGAACCCUGACCGAGCAACGCCGCGUGAGUGAAGAAGGUUUUCGGAUCGUAAAGCUCUGUUGUUAAGGAAGAACGUGUGUGAGAGUGGAAAGUUCACACAGUGACGGUACUUAACCAGAAAGGGACGGCUAACUACGUGCCAGCAGCCGCGGUAAUACGUAGGUCCCGAGCGUUGUCCGGAUUUAUUGGGCGUAAAGCGAGCGCAGGCGGUUAGAUAAGUCUGAAGUGAAAGGCAGUGGCUCAACCAUUGUAGGCUUUGGAAACUGUUUAACUUGAGUGCAGAAGGGGAGAGUGGAAUUCCAUGUGUAGCGGUGAAAUGCGUAGAUAUAUGGAGGAACACCGGUGGCGAAAGCGGCUCUCUGGUCUGUAACUGACGCUGAGGCUCGAAAGCGUGGGGAGCGAACAGGAUUAGAAACCCUAGUAGUCCGAAGUUC